rnacentral:rRNA from 1 species
UUUGAUCAUGGCUCAGGAUGAACGCUGGCGGCGUGCCUAAUACAUGCAAGUCGAUCGGGCGCAGCAAUGCGCUAGAGGCGAACGGGUGAGUAACACGUAGGUAACCUGCCCUCGAGACUGGGAUACCCGAACGAAAGUUUGGCUAAUACCGGAUAACCACAUUGGACGCAUGUCCGAUGUGUGAAAGGCGCUUCAAAGCGUCGCUCUUGGAUGGACUGCGGCACAUUAGCUAGUUGGUGAGAUAACAGCCCACCAAGGCGAGGAUGUGUAGCCGAUCUGAGAGGAUGAACGGCCACAAUGGGACUGAGACACGGCCCAUACUCCUACGGGAGGCAGCAGUAGGGAGUUUUCGGCAAUGGGGGAAACCCUGACCGAGCAACGCCGCGUGAGUGAUGAAGAUCUUCGGAUCGUAAAGCUCUGUUACAGGGGACGAAUGACCGCUUUAGGAAAUGAAGGCGGUUUGACGGUACUCUGCCAGAAAGGGACGGCUAACUACGUGCCAGCAGCCGCGGUAAUACGUAGGUCCCGAGCGUUAUCCGGAAUUAUUGGGCGUAAAGAGUGAGCAGGCGGUGCGGUAAGUUUGAAGUGAAAGCGUGGGGCUCAACCCCAUACAGCUUCGAAAACUACCGCGCUAGAGUAUGUGAGAGGUCAACGGAAUUCCAUGUGUAGCGGUGAAAUGCGUAGAUAUAUGGAGGAACACCGGUGGCGAAGGCGGUUGACCAGCACAAUACUGACGCUCAGUCACGAAAGCGUGGGGAGCAAAUAGGAUUAGAUACCCUAGUAGUCCACGCCGUAAACUAUGAUGGCUAACUAUUGCCGUGAGGCAGUGGUGAAGCAAACGCAUUAAGCCAUCCGCCUGGGAAGUACGGUCGCAAGACUGAAACUCAAAGGAAUUGACGG